rnacentral:lncRNA from 1 species
UAUAUAAUGGGAGGCUCACCAUCUCAUAGCGUCAAGUGAGAUCGCUGAAGACAAGUUGAGGAUCUGGGAUUCAGGAUGGCCCACCUACAAAGGUUUGCAGGGAUUCCAAUGUCUAAGUCAAUGAGAGACAUAUGCAAGGAGGAGGACUAUGUAUUCUUGAGCAAUCUGGAAAGACCAGACCCACAUUCAGAAGAAGGCAGCAUUUCUGAGAUGGACUGGAGAGAAAGGCGUGAAGAGAGGGCCCAGCGCAGGCUGGAGAGGGAACAGCAGGAGCAGCAGAGGCUCAGAGAGCUGGAGAGAAAGAAAAAGGAGAAGGAGGAGCAGUGGAGGAACCAUGUAGCCAAACUGGCCUUGGAACAGAAAGAGAUGCUGAAAGAGAGAGCGCUACGACUUCGAGACUUCAGGGACUUCCAGAAGAAAGUCCUGCUGGAGGAACUUGGCCUUGUUCCAGAGUCUACAAAUAAAAUGGCUGAUCAGGCCCUUAUCAGAAUGUAAUGUUAAGUAUGUCUGGCACUGGUACGAGUUCUACAGGAACAUUCACUGCAACUAAGUCUAUUUCUGGCAUGCCUGCACACAAAUAGCCAACAUCAAGUGCGUAAUGUGUCGCUGUAUAUUUUCCAGCGACGACGUGGUAAUGUAAUAGAGGCAUUUGUGUGACCAAAAUUAGGCUGUGUCUGCACUUGAAUUUGUGGAGAAACCUGACCCUCUGUUUGUGCUGUUUACACCUCUUCAGAUCCGUUAGAUAUGGAACCAACAUGGAGCCCCAAUUAUUCAUUUUCCUUUUUUUCUUUUAUGUUUAUUAAGAGUCAGCUGUGGCUCAGAAACGAGCCCAUGGACACGCUGUACUCUUAACAUGACUGUUCCACUGAUUUGCCCAUUCGGCUUGAGAGGAGUAUUUGUCUGUGUUAAUUUAUCACAUUCACUGAAAAUGUAGCUAAUUGGCGGUGAAAAAGAAUCUGAAUUAGGUCACACCAGUAGUCACAUUUCCAUUACGAAUUUGUGUAUUUUGUCAAAAUGAUGCUAAAUAGACUCGCAAAAUGUAUCUGCUUAGUUAUGUGUUCCCUCCUCUUUGCAAGCAUUCCAGCCGAUGAGUGGUCAAAACCCUCUGAAUUUCUGCUGCACCAGCUGUUAUUAUUUCAGACAGACCCAGGCAUGUUACACAAGCUAAUAGAUAAAUGCAAGAACCUUAUAUCUGACUGUGGCCAUGAGGAAUUUUUGGGGAUGUGAUAGUCUAUUCAAAUAUACAAUGCCAUUAAUUUUAAAAUGGGCCCCUCACAUUUUAAAGUCUGUUUGUAAAAAUGUCAUUAAACACCAAAGUGACACACCAAAAAAAAGGUGGUAAUUUCCUUGAUCUUAUGUUAGCGCUUAGUGCAACGUUUAACGCAUAGUGCUGCACUUUGUGCCAGUUUGAAUAUAGUGUCCAAUAUACACUGCUAAAGAAAAUAAAAGGAACACAAAAAUAAGACA